AGCCCCGUGGUGGAGACCACGUCAGGUUGCAAACCUGAAGGCGCAGCCUAACAGCUGCCGGGGCUU
rnacentral:tRNA from 1 species